UAGUAUGGAUAUCAAUCCUAAAUCACUCACACCCUCUAAGGUGUCUGGAGUGCAAAUUAAAAAGCUCCUAAUACUUAUACCUUGCCUUAAGUUUUUUGCUUUUCUCUUUCUUCUUUUCAAGCCGAGUACUUGAUCACCUUGUGGUCAUCACCACCAUCACAAUGAUCCUCUAGGCUCCACCACUUGGCAUGGGACUUAUCAUUUCAUGUCUACACACUUAGCACAAUGAUUAGUCCCUAGAUUUCAUCAAUUAUCCAAAAUCAAACUAGGGCUUUCACACCCGCCCGACCCCAUGAGCACCUCUGAAGACCGACACUACUUCAACAAUACUUUUAAGUAAACAGACAAUAUUUUCCUCUCCCAGCAUUUCAGCACAAGCAUCAUCAUAAACCAAAUUUCAGCGAAAUGAACGGGUACACGAGUUACACUCACCCCUAUGAAUGCACGCACACACGCCCUACCCCUAUGAGCACCUUCGAAGACCGGCAAAUCUCGAGAUUGGUAAAGUCACCACAAACGUCUUAUAUCGAUGGUCACGUCACCUACCACUGAAAGAAUAGUGUCUUAAAUUCUAGAAUAAAUCUAGAAAAAUACGAGUAUCUAUGUCAAGUCGAGUACUUAAACCCGGGUAGACACGUUCUAUCACAGAGAACCCAACUAGCUCAGCUACAGUUAAGUUAUAACAAUAUAGUAAUUUCUACAAGUUCGCAUAAAC
rnacentral:lncRNA from 1 species